UACGAAGGGGGCUAGCGUUGCUCGGAAUCACUGGGCGUAAAGGGUGCGUAGGCGGGUCUUUUAAGUCAGGGGUGAAAUCCUGGAGCUCAACUCCAGAACUGCCUUUGAUACUGAAGAUCUUGAGUUCGGGAGAGGUGAGUGGAACUGCGAGUGUAGAGGUGAAAUUCGUAGAUAUUCGCAAGAACACCAGUGGCGAAGGCGGCUCACUGACCCGAUACUGACGCUGAGGUGCGAAAGCGUGGGGAGCAACAGG
rnacentral:rRNA from 1 species